rnacentral:rRNA from 1 species
CAAUGCAAGUCGAGCGAGAAGGUGUAGCAAUACACUUGUAAAGCGGCGAACGGGUGAGGAAUACAUGGGUAAUCUACCAUCGAGUGGGGUAUAACCAGCCGAAAGGUUGGCUAAUACCGCGUACGCCUCCGAAUCUUCGGGUUCGGAGGGAAAGCCACACUGUGAGUGCGGCGCUCUUUGAUGAGCUCAUGUCCUAUCAGCUUGUUGGUAGGGUAACGGCCUACCAAGGCUUUGACGGGUAGCUGGUCUGAGAGGACGAUCAGCCACACUGGCACUGCGACACGGGCCAGACUCCUACGGGAGGCAGCAGUAAGGAAUAUUGCGCAAUGGGCGAAAGCCUGACGCAGCGACGCCGCGUGGGGGAUGAAGGUCUUCGGAUUGUAAACCCCUUUCGGGAGCGAAGAUGGAGCGAGCAAUCGUUCGGACGGUACCUCCAGAAGCAGCCACGGCCAACUUCGUGCCAGCAGCCGCGGUAAUACGAAGGUGGCAAGCGUUGUUCGGAUUCACUGGGCGUACAGGGUGUGUAGGCGGUUUGGUAAGCCUUCUGUUAAAGCUUCGGGCCCAACCCGGAAAGCGCAGAGGGUACUGCCAGGCUAGAGGGUGGGAGAGGAGCGCGGAAUUCCCGGUGUAGCGGUGAAAUGCGUAGAGAUCGGGAGGAAGGCCGGUGGCGAAGGCGGCGCUCUGGAACAUACCUGACGCUGAGACACGAAAGCGUGGGGAGCAAACAGGAUUAGAUACCCUAUAGUCCACGCCCUAAACUAUGGAUACUAAGUGUCGGCGGGUUACCGCCGGUGCCGCAGCUAACGCAUUAAGUAUCCCGCCUGGGAGUACGCCGCAAGUGAAACUCAAAGGAAUUGACGGGGCCCGCACAGCGUGAGCAUGUGUUAUUCGACGCAACGCGAAAACCUUACUCAG